GAUGAACGCUGGCGGCGUGCCUAAUACAUGCAAGUCGAGCGAAUGGAUUAAGAGCUUGCUCUUAUGAAGUUAGCGGCGGACGGGUGAGUAACACGUGGGUAACCUGCCCAUAAGACUGGGAUAACUCCGGGAAACCGGGGCUAAUACCGGAUAACAUUUUGAACCGCAUGGUUCGAAAUUGAAAGGCGGCUUCGGCUGUCACUUAUGGAUGGACGCGCGUCGCAUUAGCUAGUUGGUGAGGUAACGGCGCACCAAGGCAACGAUGCGUAGCCGACCGGAGAGGGUGAUCCGCCACACGGGGACUGAGACACGGCCCAGACUCCUACGGGAGGCAGCAGUAGGGAAUCUUCCGCAAUGGACGAAAGUCUGACGGAGCAACGCCGCGUGAGUGAUGAAGGCUUUCGGGUCGUAAAACUCUGUUGUUAGGGAAGAACAAGUGCUAGUUGAAUAAGCUGGCACCUUGACGGUACCUAACCAGAAAGCCACGGCUAACUACGUGCCAGCCGCCGCGGUAA
rnacentral:rRNA from 1 species